GCUCUGAGGGCAGCCGACAGGGACACCAGAGCAGUGGCACGUAAGCGGAGACCCUCCUGUACCCGCCGGAGAGACCUCUCCCUUCCGCGUCAUUAAUACACCUCCCAGAGAGGCCCCCCCUUCAUCAUGUCGCUGUGCGAGCCAGGAGACUGAGCAGCCGCCAGGAACUCCAGGCAUGAACCAGGGCCCUCAGGCAGGGGCUGUAGGGACAGAACUGUGUGAGGGAGGCAACUAGAUGAUUGCAGAGAAAGCAGCCCCUAGGAACCCCAGGCACGGACCAGGGCCCUCAGGCAGGGGCUGUAGGGACAGAAUUCUAUGAGGGAGGCACCAGAGGAUUGCAGAGAAAGG